rnacentral:rRNA from 1 species
AGUUCGGAUUNUAGUCUGCAACCCGACUACAUGAAGCUGGAAUCGCUAGUAAUCGCGGAUCAGAAUGCCGCGGUGAAUACGUUCCCGGGUCUUGUACACACCGCCCGUCACACCAUGGGAGUCGGAAAUGCCCGAAGUCUGUGACCUAACCGAGAGGGAGGAGCAGCCGAAGGCAGGUCUGAUGACUGGGGUGAAGUCGUAACAAGGUAUC